rnacentral:rRNA from 1 species
GACGAACGCUGGCGGCGUGCCUAACACAUGCAAGUCGAACGGAAAACAUAGCAAUAUGUUUUUAGUGGCGAACGGGUGAGUAACGCGUAGACAACCAACCUUUUUGUGGGGGACAACACUUCGAAAGGAGUGCUAAUACCGCAUGCACUCCAGAUGCCGCCUGGCAUUUGGAGGAAAGGAGCUUUACGGCUUCGCAGAAAGACGGGUCUGCGUCUGAUUAGCUAGUUGGAGGGGUAACGGCCCACCAAGGCGACGAUCAGUAGCCGGUCUGAGAGGAUGGACGGCCACACUGGGACUGAGACACGGCCCAGACUCCUACGGGAGGCAGCAGUGGGGAAUCUUCCGCAAUGGACGAAAGUCUGACGGAGCGACGCCGCGUGAGUGAUGAAGGCCCUUGGGUCGUAAAGCUCUGUCAUCAGGGACGAACGGUCACGUCAGGAAAUGGGCGUGAAUUGACGGUACCUGAGAAGGAAGCCACGGCUAACUACGUGCCAGCCGCCGCAGUAAAA